rnacentral:lncRNA from 1 species
AGCGGAGCUCGUCGGAGCCUUAUGCAGAGGCAAGCUGGACUCUCUCAGACAACUGCCUCUGAAAGUGGGCAACUUCGUCGGUCGCCGUCUGGAGCUUCCUUCAGUAGUCCUCUACUUGCCUGCUCCAGCUGACUCGGUAGGCGUUGUAGUUCGCCUCGACAUCCUGUAACUGCUUUUGAAGGUCAGAGAACUUUUUUGACCAGUCUUGAUCACAGUCGGUCUAGAUUGUGAG